GACGAACGCUGGCGGCGUGCUUUACACAUGCAAGUCGAACGGAAAGGCCCUUCUUUUUUGUGGUGCUCGAGUGGCGAACGGGUGAUGAACACGUGAGUGACCUGCCCUUGACUUUAGGAUAACUUCAGCAAACUUGGUCUAAUACCUGAUAGGAGCUCCUGCUGCAGGGUGGGGGUUGGAAAGUUUCGGCGGUUGGGGAUGGACUCGCGGCUUAUCAGCUUGUUGGUGGGGUAGGUGCUUACCAAGGCUUUGACGGGUAGCCGGCCUGAGAGGGUGACCGGCGACAUUGGGACUGAGAUACGGCCCAGACUCCUACGGGAGGCAGCAGUGGCGAAUAUUGCACAAUGGGCGGAAGCCUGAUGCAGAAACGCCGCGUGCGGGAUGAGGGCCUUCGGGUUGCAAACAGCUUUCGCCUGUGACGAAGCGUGAGUGACGGUAAUGGGUAAAGAAGCACCGGCUAACUACGUG
rnacentral:rRNA from 1 species